UGGGGGAGGAAGGCCUCAGGGUCGUAAACCCCUGUCAGGUGGGACGAACCACGGAUCGGUCAAUACCCGGUCCGUCUGACGGUACCACCAGAGGAAGCUCCGGCUAACUCCGUGCCAGCAGCCGCGGUAAUACGGAGGGAGCUAGCGUUGUUCGGAAUUACUGGGCGUAAAGGGCGCGUAGGCGGUCGGGUAAGUCGAGUGUGAAAUUCCGGGGCUCAACCCCGCGAACUGCAUUCGAUACUGCUCGACUAGAGAGAGGUAGGGGCGAGUGGAAUUCCCGGUGUAGCGGUGGAAUGCGUAGAUAUCGGGAAGAACACCGGUGGCGAAGGCGGCUCGCUGGGCCUUYUCUGACGCUGAAGCGCGAAAGCGUGGGGAGCAAACAGGAUUAGAUACCCUGGUAGUCCACGCCGUAAACGAUGGGUACUAGGUGUUGGGAGGAUUGACCCUCUCAGUGCCGACGUAACGCAUUAAGUACCCC
rnacentral:rRNA from 1 species